rnacentral:RNase_P_RNA from 1 species
CAACAAGGCUGCGCGAUCGCGCUAUAUUAUGCCGAAAGGUCGUAUAGCGAGGAAAGUCCGGGCUUCACAGGACAGGAUAACGGAUAACGUCCGCCGAGGGUGACCUCAGGAACAGUGCAACAGAAAUAAACCGCCGCGCAAGCGGUAAGGAUGGAAAGGCGAGGUAAGAGCUCACCAUCCCCUUGGUAACAAGGGGAGUCAUGUAAACUCUAUCCGAAGCAACGCCGUAGGGGCGGGCGCAAGCCCGGCGGUUGUCCGCCGUACUCCCCCUUGGGCGGCAACGCGCAAGCGUAAGCCAUGCGGUAACGCAGGGCGAAGAUAGAUGAUCGCGGCCCGCAAGGGCACAGAACCCGGCUUAUAUGCCUUUGUUGCUGC